rnacentral:rRNA from 1 species
UACGUAGGGGGCAAGCGUUGUCCGGAUUUAUUGGGCGUAAAAGGCUUGUAGGUGGCCACGCCAAGUCGGAUGUGAAAUCUCCCGGCUCAACUGGGAGGGGUCAUUCGAUACUGGUGGGCUCGAGGCCGGUAGGGGGAAGCGGAAUUCCCGGUGUAGUGGUGGAAUGCGUAGAUAUCGGGAGGAACACCAGUGGCGAGGGCGGCUUCCUGGACCGGUUCUGACACUGAGGAGCGAAAGCGUGGGGAGCGAUCCGG